GUGCUCACUUUGGUAGCACAUAUACUAAAACUGGAACGAUACAGAAAAAAGUUAGCAUGGCCCCUGUGCAAGAAUGGCACUCAAAUUCAAGAAGGAUUCUGUAUUUUU
rnacentral:snRNA from 1 species